AAAUUGAAGAGUUUGAUCAUGGCUCAGAUUGAACGCUGGCGGCAGGCCUAACACAUGCAAGUCGAGCGGAAACGAGUUAUCAGAACCUUCGGGGGACGAUAGCGGCGUCGAGCGGCGGACGGGUGAGUAAUGCCUAGGAAAUUGCCCUGAUGUGGGGGAUAACCAUUGGAAACGAUGGCUAAUACCGCAUGAUGCCUACGGGCCAAAGAGGGGGACCUUCGGGCCUCUCGCGUCAGGAUAUGCCUAGG
rnacentral:rRNA from 1 species